rnacentral:rRNA from 1 species
AUUGAACGCUGGCGGCAGGCUUAACAUAUGCAAGUCGAGCGGGGUGAUGGUGCUUGCACUAUCACUUAGCGGCGGACGGGUGAGUAAUGCUUAGGAAUCUGCCUAUUAGUGGGGGACAACAUCUCGAAAGGGAUGCUAAUACCGCAUACGUCCUACGGGAGAAAGCAGGGGAUCACUUGUGACCUUGCGCUAAUAGAUGAGCCUAAGUCGGAUUAGCUAGUUGGUGGGGUAAAGGCCUACCAAGGCGACGAGCUGUAGCGGGUCUGAGAGGAUGAUCCGCCACACUGGGAAUGAGACACGGCCCAGACUCCUACGGGAGGCAGCAGUGGGGAAUAAUGGACAAUGGGAUGAACCCUGAUCCAGUAAUGCCGCGUGUGUGAAGAAGGCCUUAUGGUUGUAAAGCACUUGAAGCGAGGAGGAGGCUCUUUUGGUUAAUACCCAAGAUGAGUGGACGUUACUCGCAGAAUAAGCACCGGCUAACUCUGUGCCAGCCGCCGCCGUAA